rnacentral:rRNA from 1 species
AAAUUGAAGAGUUUGAUCAUGGCUCAGAUUGAACGCUGGCGGCAGGCCUAACACAUGCAAGUCGAACGGUAACAGGAAGCAGCUUGCUGCUUCGCUGACGAGUGGCGGACGGGUGAGUAAUGUCUGGGAAACUGCCUGAUGGAGGGGGAUAACUACUGGAAACGGUGGCUAAUACCGCAUAACGUCGCAAGACCAAAGAGGGGGACCUUCGGGCCUCUUGCCAUCAGAUGUGCCCAGAUGGGAUUAGCUUGUUGGUGAGGUAACGGCUCACCAAGGCGACGAUCCCUAGCUGGUCUGAGAGGAUGACCAGCCACACUGGAACUGAGACACGGUCCAGACUCCUACGGGAGGCAGCAGUGGGGAAUAUUGCACAAUGGGCGCAAGCCUGAUGCAGCCAUGCCGCGUGUAUGAAGAAGGCCUUCGGGUUGUAAAGUACUUUCAGCGGGGAGGAAGGUGUUGCGGUUAAUAACCGCAGCAAUUGACGUUACCCGCAGAAGAAGCACCGGCUAACUCCGUGCCAGCAGCCGCGGUAAUACGGAGGGUGCAAGCGUUAAUCGGAAUUACUGGGCGUAAAGCGCACGCAGGCGGUCUGUCAAGUCGGAUGUGAAAUCC